AAGGGUAUAGCUUAAAUAAAGCAUUUUGCUUACACCAAAAAAAUAUUUGUUAAUCCAAAUUACCUUAA
rnacentral:tRNA from 2 species